CUUCCAAGAUGGCGGCGCGUCCGUCGCGAGCGACCGGGCCGAGGGGAGGCCAGCGAAGCCGAGUAAAACCGCCGCCCGGGAGAAGACUGAAGGAGCAGUUGCCGCCGUUGGCGGCGGCCCGAGCAGUUUUCGCUGCUGCUACGGCUGUUGCCAUGAGGCGAGGCUAGGGAGGACCUCACUUCCCCGGGGUGUAAUAAUGUUAACUGAGGAUGAAAGAAAAAACUUGACUGGAAGCUCCAGAAAAUUAUAGUGGAAAAGGAGACAGACUGAGUCCCUGGGCUUAGAAGAUUUAGAGAUUGAUUAUAUUGGGAGCUAGUUUCAAGAUGAAAUACUAAUUCUAAGCCAGUCUAUCCAUAUGGGGAUGGGGAAGCCUUGGCAUUGUCCUUUUUCUGAUAACCUUUGGACCCUUUGUAAUAUUUUAUUUGACAUUUUAUAUCCUCUGCUUUGUGGGUGG
rnacentral:lncRNA from 1 species